rnacentral:rRNA from 1 species
AGAGUUUGAUCAUGGCUCAGGACGAACGCUGGCGGCGUGCCUAACACAUGCAAGUCGAACGGAACUGUUUUGAAAGAUUUCUUCGGAAUGAAUUUGAUUUAGUUUAGUGGCGGACGGGUGAGUAACGCGUGAGUAACCUGCCUUCAAGAGGGGGAUAACAUUCUGAAAAGAAUGCUAAUACCGCAUGAUAUAUCGGAAUCACAUGAUUUUGAUAUCAAAGAUUUUAUCGCUUGAAGAUGGACUCGCGUCCGAUUAGUUAGUUGGUGAGGUAACGGCUCACCAAGACCGCGAUCGGUAGCCGGACUGAGAGGUUGAACGGCCACAUUGGGACUGAGACACGGCCCAGACUCCUACGGGAGGCAGCAGUGGGGGAUAUUGCGCAAUGGGGGCAACCCUGACGCAGCAACGCCGCGUGAAGGAUGAAGGUUUUCGGAUUGUAAACUUCUUUUAUUAAGGACGAAACUUGACGGUACUUAAUGAGUAAGCUCCGGCUAACUACGUGCCAGCAGCCGCGGUAAUACGUAGGGAGCAAGCGUUGUCCGGAUUUACUGGGUGUAAAGGGUGCGUAGGCGGCUUUGCAAGUCAGAUGUGAAAUCUAUGGGCUCAACCCAUAAACUGCAUUUGCAACUGUAGAGCUUGAGUGAAGUAGAGGCAGGCGGAAUUCCCCGUGUAGCGGUGAAAUGCGUAGAGAUGGGGAGGAACACAGUGGCGAAGGCGGCCUGCUGGGCUUUAACUGACGCUGAGGCACGAAAGCGUGGGUAGCAAACAGGAUUAGAUACCCUGGUAGU